GAUGAACGCUGGCGGCGUGCCUAAUACAUGCAAGUCGAGCGAACGGACGAGAAGCUUGCUUCUCUGAUGUUAGCGGCGGACGGGUGAGUAACACGUGUAUAACCUACCUAUAAGACUGGGAUAACUUCGGGAAACCGGAGCUAAUACCGGAUAAUAUUUUGAACCGCAUGGUUCAAAAGUGAAAGACGGUCUUGCUGUCACUUAUAGAUGGAUCCGCGCUGCAUUAGCUAGCUGGUAAGGUAACGGCUUAUCAAGGCAACGAUGCAUAGCCGACCGGAGAGGGUGAUCGGCCACACUGGAGCUGAGACACGGUCCAGACUCCUACGGGAGGCAGCAGUAGGGAAUCUUCCGCAAUGGGCGAAAGCCUGACGGAGCAACGCCGCGUGAGUGAUGAAGGUCUUCGGAUCGUAAAACUCUGUUAUUAGGGAAGAACAUAUGUGUAAGUAACUGUGCACAUCUUGACGGUACCUAAUCAGAAAGCCACGGCUAACUACGUG
rnacentral:rRNA from 1 species